UGACAAAAUCUUGAGAGUUUCUCCUUCACAUUUGUAUCCAAUUCCUGCAUAUGUAGUGCUAAAAAGGUGAGCGAUAGAAAGGAUUGGUGUCAUACUGCUAUCGCUAGAGGUGGCAAAAAAGGUGGUCAUAGCAGGUCGACCCAAAACAUUUUCUUAUCAAAAUAAGAUAAAAUAUAUUAUAUCAUUUCAACAAUAAUUUUGGAAUAGAAUUUAGAAGGUUUUAUACAUCUAAAAGACACAUUGAGUGACUUUCGAGUUUCGACCCAUUUGACCUGUUAAGAAACGUAACCCGAACCAACCCAUUAACAUGAUUGUAAAACAAGGUCUCCAAGGCCGAGUACUCCCCGAGUAGUCGCUACAAGGUAGGCUGCCCGAGGCGACUUUCUUCAACUCUGCCUAAUUACUCGGAAUCGACCAAACGCGGCCAACCUCGGCCAGAAUCAGAUCUAGGAGGUCAACUCGGGCAGAGAAACACAGUUUCUACGCGUAUCACAUUAAAGAAGAAUGACUAUCAUUUUCACGUAUUUUAUUAUAAAUAUUAGUAGAUUUAUGUUAUUUGACAUAUAUUUAAUUUCCGAAAACUAAUUUCUUUAUAUGUCCAAGUACUCCCCGAGUACUCUCCGCCUAGGCCGAGUACUCUCAACUCCCCAGUCGACCGACUAGGGAGCGCCUAGCGACUUUUGCAAUCAUGCCCAUUAAUAAGUAAGUGGGUCGAAUUUGCCAACUCUAGCUAUCGUAAAAGCAAGAAAACUGAUUUGAGACCGUUGUGCUGCGACAAGCUAAUAUGUUUGGAGUCAAUCCCAAGCUUCUUAAUCCCCGAACACUGUGUUGGCCUCAAUAAAUGGCAUUGAUUCAAUAUCCCCUACAUGAAGAUGUGAUUUGUCGGAUCAAAAACCCAAAGUACAUAUACAUACACAUACAUAUACAUAUGACACCCAAUAAUUACCUAUAGUACCGCCCAAUUCAAUAACGCACACAUCAGGUGGGCCUUCUUUUCCAUCUACGGGUAUCGCAGCCACUCGUUCGAUCCAAUCUUGAAUGGCAUCGGUGAUGUGG
rnacentral:lncRNA from 1 species